CCUAGUGAGGUAAAGCGAAUGAUUAGAGGAUUCGGGGAAGCAACUUCCUCGACCUAUUCUCAAACUUUAAAUCUGUAAGACCUGCAGGUUUCUUAAUUGAACUUGUGGAUGUGA
rnacentral:ncRNA from 1 species